CCCCCCCCCCCCGCUCUCUGCCAUCAGCCGCGUGAAGCUCCCCCGAAAACCUCCUCCACAUCAGCGCCCCCCGCCAUGCCCUGUAUCUCGCCUAGCACACGCCGUGCCCACGCAGGUAGCCACGGAUCUUGCCCCCACCGUCGAGCUUCCAUGGUAGGCAUCCCCCUUCUAUACUAGGCGGCCAUGGCAUGAACCCAUCCCCUAUCCGUGCCCCCAUCGCACGGGCCCAAAUCCUGGAAUGAUGCCUUCCUCCUCCUCUGCUGCCUCCGCCCUACUCAGGCCUUUGAGACUUCCACUGGCGAUACGCACCCACCAGGUACGUGCACCCCUUCUCCUCUGUUCCUACUAUGCAAAACCAAGCACUCAAACUCUAGCUACGUAUUCAUAUCUGAAGUUACUGUUCCAAUCGAUGAUCAAGGAGCAGACACAACUGAUCGAACUCCUAUUGGAAUUCCAAACACCGCUCCACUAAAUAUUUUCCCACAGGUGUACGUGCACCCCUUCUCCUAUGCUCCUACUAUGCGAAACCAACCACUCAAACUCUAGCUACGUUUUCAGAUCUGAAGUUGUUGUUCAUAGAAAGGAUCUACAGUUUCAAGCAGUUCGGGAAAUGGUCCAUACAAAUCCACAAAUUUUGCAGCUUUUGUAUUCUUUGUUUGGGAUUACAUUCUAUGGCCUCUUAUGUAGCACCUGCCUAAACAUUUUGCUGGUAGCACGUUAUAGCCUAUGCUGGUUGAAUUGAGCAAGAAUAAUCCUCCAAAUCUAAGGUUUAUUGAUAGUAUCAUGAUGAGUGUCUUCAAUUACUAAAUGAGCCCUUUGAGGGCGGAGGGGCAAUCAUUCUCUUAUUUGAUUAAAUUUGACUAUUUCCCCCUUCGUUUUUGGUUUUGUCUACUUCAUUACAGCUUGCCAAUUGUCAUAGAUUUUUGGUAUUUUGUGAAUUGUUGUUUAGCGAUUUUAUAAAUAGAUAGUGUUAUCUCAUUUUUCUGUCCAUUUCCUCAAAAUCUCUAGGGAAUUCUUAGACCAACCUGAGGAGUAAGAAAUGCCUCAUGUUAUUAGUGUUACACCAGACGUACAGGAGGCCAUUGGAUGGCUUGAGUCCAUGGGGUUCGACUGAGCAUGUGUUAUUGAAGCAUUCUUUGCCUGCGAUAGGAAUGAGGAGCUAUCUGCAAACUAUCUUCUUGAGCAUGCUAGUGAGGAAGAUUAAGCCAGAGUAGUUUUCAUAUGGGUACAAACAUAGCUUUGCGUCAAUCGGUGCUAGGCGAAUGCAGAACGCUUGGUAGCCGGUCAGCGCUAUGUGUAGAACACAUACUCCAGAGAUGAAAUUGGAUCACGAGCACUGGAAUAAUUGUUGUCAGCUGCAUUGAAACAGGCAGAUCCUAUUAACAACUCCGCAUUGGCUCUCUGCCCCAGCCAUGGACCCAUGGCAGCGGCGGUUUCGCGCACCUCAAAGACAUGGGUGGGGAGGCAUCGCGGCUGCUGCACGCCCUCUGGAGAAUGCUUAUCGAUCAUCAGGUUCCUGGAAGUACCAUGAGAGACUCUUUUUUGGUGAAUGGUGUUGCAUUCAAGAAGACGUUUUCAUAUGCAGGAUUUGAGCAACAACCAAAGAAGUGUGGAUGGCUUCAGUUUGCGCUUUGCCUAUAUGAACAUAAGCCACUUCUACCCGAACCUGAAAACAAUCCAAGCUACUCUUGUCAGUGCAGCCAAGCAAAGCAAUGGUGCCUUUAAAUUUUCAUGCAGCUUCCAGUUUUUGUUUGGGUUCUGUAGGGACCGAGAUUCUGGAUACCUCACUCCCUUGAUUCAGAAUGACUCCACUGAGUCAUUGCUCCGUUGGCAAUGUCAGCCUGUUUCACAUCGGAACUACAGGACCACCCGAGAAAUCCAGAUAAGAAGGUUCCAGGGCUCGGCGAGGUAUUCGAGAGUAGCAUCGCCGUCGCCUCGGAGACUGCUGCAGCCGCAAACAACAUUCCACCUGAUCAGUAUCUACACCGAUGGAGGAGACUGAUCCGUGUGACGCGCGCCAAGCUAAGGAAGCGCACGGCCACCGAAGUUCCUGUUGGGAAUUAGCUGCAGGCCAUUGUUUUUCCUUUCCCUGCACAUUGUGUUGAUCUUUUUAUUUUUUUGGGGUUUUAGGAUGUCAUGUUGUUUGGUGGAAUGGAGAUGUGCUAUUGAAUUGGUUCUUUGUGACACAGUUGAUUAUCUUGUUUCUGUGCUUUCUUAGUGCCCUUUUCUUGUGAUUUAAGUUGUAAGUAACACUUUCCCUACGCAUGUGAAUACUGGUUAGCGGCACGGGCAACGAACGCCUGCAAUUGCAACAUCACUUCAAUUUGGUCA